rnacentral:lncRNA from 1 species
GGUGCCCUUACACAGCUCAGCGAACCCUGGAUGCUCCAAGGCCACUGCAGCUCUCCGCAGGCACGCUGGUCUCCUGACUCAGCUUCACCUUCCAGUCCGCACAGAGCUCGGGGGCACCGGCGACAGGGAAGGUCAGAGUCCACAGACUUAUAGCCCACGGCUGAGAAGGGCCUCCAGUCCCAGGGAGUUUUAAAAUGCGGUUCGUGGUAGGGCAUUUCUGAUCAUUCCCUUUCAAGGACAUGAUGCAGCCGAAAGGGAGAAAAAAAGCGCACUUUCUUCGAGGUUUGUGUGGAACAGAGUAGGGAGAAGGGGGGUGGGCAGGGAGGAGGGCACUAAUCAAAGCCAAGUCCGGGGCGGCGUGGCGAGCGUCUCGGAGGUAGUGGAGUGUAAACGCGGGCGGGAUCCACGUAGGGCUGCUCCCACGGGGGUCUCCGCAAGAUCGCGCGCAGGCGUGGGGACCGCGGCCGGGUGGGUCCCCACGCACUCUGCCCCGACCGACCCGCGCCCCCCUGCGCGUCACCGCCAGCCCUGCCUCCGCGCGCCUCCUCCUGCUCCACCUCCCCGGCGCGGCGCGGUCCGGCUCGGGGGCCGGAGGAGCUUGGGCGGGAGGAGCACUCCGUAGGCCCGGGAGCUCGGCGGGCCCUCGGCGCGGGGGAGCCACGUCGCUGCGCUGCGAGCUUGGCUCGGAGAAGAGGGCGUGGAGAGCUCUGGGAAGUCCUCGGGUCCGGGCCCAACAGAAAGGAGGCCAGGAGAGACCUUGUCCCAGGUCGGAUGUGCCCGAAAGGGAAAGGACCCGCAGGUUACUUUUGCCAGCCACUUUGGAUUGAUGCGGCACUUUUCACUGUCGUACAGCACUGCUUGCCAAACAGGUAAAUAAUGCCUGCAGUGGCUUUGCUUAUAAACCCGGUCGUCAUGUAAUCCGGGUGUGCUCAGGCCAUUUUGCGUUUAGAAGUAAUUGGUCUGGUCUUUCAGUGUCCUUAAUUACCUCUGCGUCCCGUGUUCAGCCUCAGCUGAAACUUGUUGAAAAUUAU